rnacentral:rRNA from 1 species
GAUGAACGCUGGCGGCGUGCUUAACACAUGCAAGUCGAACGGUGAAGGCGGAGCUUGCUCUGCUGGAUCAGUGGCGAACGGGUGAGUAACACGUGAGCAAUCUGCCCCUGACUCUGGGAUAAGCGCUGGCAACGGCGUCUAAUACUGGAUACGAGCUGCGAAGGCAUCUUCAGCAGCUGGAAAGAACUUCGGUCAGGGAUGAGCUCGCGGCCUAUCAGCUUGUUGGUGAGGUAACGGCUCACCAAGGCGUCGACGGGUAGCCGGCCUGAGAGGGUGACCGGCCACACUGGGACUGAGACACGGCCCAGACUCCUACGGGAGGCAGCAGUGGGGAAUAGUGCACAAUGGGCGAAAGCCUGAUGCAGCAACGCCGCGUGGGGGACGACGGCCUUCGGGUUGUAAACCUCUUUUAGCAGGGAAGAAGCGAAAGUGACGGUACCUGCAGAAAAAGCGCCGGCUAACUACGUG